GGGGGCUGAGAGGCAUGGUAGAGCCCUGAGUUCCUGGGCUGGAAGUGGGCAUGAGGCUGUGAUAAAUGGAGCCAAGAGGAUAAUUACCAGUAUUUGCAGCAUCAGAAGAAAUUACAAUAUGAAAAGAAGGAAGGCUAGCAUGACCCCCAUACUGCUGGAUUGGAAUAAAAAGUAUCAGGAGCAAGAUGGUGGAAUAGGAGUUUUCUACUGUUGUCCCACCAUAGAACAUCCAUCUUGACAAUCACUCACAGAUUUCCAUUUGCUUAGUAACUUUCCAUCAGCAGCAUUGGAAAUAGGAAUGAGUCACCACCUACUGCAUGGGAUUAAGGAAUUAAAGGAGGAACCAAGCAAACAUGAG